CCUACGGGAGGCAGCAGUGAGGAAUAUUGGUCAAUGGGCGCGAGCCUGAACCAGCCAAGUAGCGUGAAGGAUGACUGCCCUACGGGUUGUAAACUUCUUUUAUAAAGGAAUAAAGUGAGGCACGUGUGCCUUUUUGUAUGGACUUUAUGAAUAAGGAUAGGCUAACUCCGUGCCAGCAGCCCCGGUAAUACGGAGGAUCCGAGCGUUAUCCGGAUUUAUUGUGUUUAAAGGGAGCGUAGAUGGGUUGUUAAGUCAGUUGUGAAAGUUUGCGGGUCAACCGUAAGAUUGCAAUUGAUACUGGCAGGCUUGAGUGCAGGUGAGGUAGGCGGAAUUCGUGGUGUAGCGGUGAAAGGCUUAGAUAUCACGAAGAACUCCGAUUGCGAAGGCAGCUUACUAAACUGCCACUGACAUUGAUGCUCGAAAGUGUGGGUAUCAAACAGGAUUAGAUACCCCAGUAGUC
rnacentral:rRNA from 1 species